UGGAAUCACUUUAAAAUGUUACUAAAAACAUCAUUUCAACAAACAACGAAAAUAGCAAUAAAAACUACCAUUUAGCUAGCCUGUACUAUUUACCAUGAACUUUGCACACUGAAUCUCAAACUCCCCUGGCCUUCAGAUAUUGUCCAUUUCCAUUAUGCAGUUAAAUAAGGGUCAAGUCAUAACUUGCUUGUGGUCAUACAGAAAACCAAUGGAACCAGAACACGUACCCAAGCUUACCUGAAGUCUAAGCUAUGCUCUUUCCCCUACAUUAUGACAUCGUGAUAAAGAGACAGAAUCACAUUUUCUCUACCAGGCACAUGCCCAACGGCAAUUACCACAUGAGUAAUUUGGGUAUACGGUAGGAAAAAGCACUCACCCAAUGUCGUGGCACCUGUAUUGCAUGAGGUUUUCACUCAUUCUUUAAACAGAGAUUCCCUGAAAGUCUACAAUCCGCAAAGUAAAGAGAUGGAUGUUGACAUUUUUUCAGCAGGUUCACAAUGUGGUGAAGAAUUCCAUCACUAACAGCUUGAAGGACCUCACCUUCCAGGCUGGAAGUGAUACACUUCUCCCUCAUGAACACAAACAGCCCAGCCGUCUAAAUCUCCCGCUGGUCUUCCUCUUCAGAUUCGUGAGACUUUAAAUGUGAAGAUAUUUAUUUCUGUUCUGCAGGGCCAGGUAAAUACUAUCUCCUCUCUACAUAUAUCUCCUUCCCUCUGCCACCCUGCCUCAACAAAUCGUGUAAAAAGCAAUGCUUGUAUGUGAGAAGCAGAAAAGGCAUAUGGGCAUUUCAAUCACAAAGUUUCAGUUUUAUGUGUCAACCUUAUCGUUUUCUAUUUAAUAAACCAUUCAGCCUAUGGUACCAUCGUGCACAGCCUUAAAGACAUUCUACUUAGAUUUGGUGAUAAAUCCAGGUACCUACCCCACAUCUGUCCCCACAUUUAACUGACACUCACAGAAACAAUUUACAAAUAUUCCAAUGCAUCCAAAUAUGAAUGUGCCACUAAUACUUGACAAGUGUCCACUAAUUCUGAUAACAGCAUCAUUAUCAUUUCUAAUCUGCCACCAGCAAUCAGUGCCAUUCUUUGAUGACACAAAUAAGAACAGAGGAUUAGAAAUAAAGGCUUGUUCCUCAGAACACAGUAUGAAAACUCAAACAUCAAGUUGACAUUUUGCCCAAACACGUACCAGAUUUGCCAAAGAUUUACCAGAAAAGUCUUUGUUGCAUUCAAAAUUGGAUUUACUUGACCAAAAGAAAAAAAAAAAAAAUGAUUUAGACACCAAGGUUUGUAAAACAAAGCAGAAGAAGCAAAACACCACCAUUAUCUCUCUUCUUUUACAUUUUAUAUAACAUUGGAUGAUUUGAGAUACUACUUCAUAAUGAAAAAUAUAAAAGUAAAUGAUGACAAUGUGACAGAACUAAGAGGUGAAAAGAGGAGGAAGGACUUGGGUUCUGUUGCCAUUAUCUGCUUCUAAAGGUAUCGGAUACAAGGAAUCCUUUUCAUGGCCUAUAACAAAAUGGGAACUUUCUAAACACGGUUGUACCCGACCUAUAUUCAGAUCCCAUGAACCAAAACGUAAAACCAAGGCAAUACGCAGAGGAGCAAUCCUAUACAGAACCUCCCUUGUGUCUAUGAGGGAAGACUCAGAGCCCCACUGAGUUAUUUAUAAUAUCUAAUUUUAGAAUGCCAGUGACAGGAGAAUGUUUUAAUUAUCUUCUUUUUGUUGUUGUUGCUUAAUUCCUCAUCCCUAACACAGUUUCUGAAUGCAGAAGGAAGAGAAGGAGCAAACGAGAGCAGGCAGCAGGCAGAAGACAGCUUAGUCAUCUUGCCCUGUAUCCCAAAGGAGCUUUGAACCAGCAAGGUGCAAGCAGGAACAGAAAAAUGCUUCACGGACAGUAGUAAUCAAGCAAAAACUGAAAGAUUGGCAUAAAAAAAACAAAUACUUUUUUUUUUUAAGUUACAGGCACAAUUUUCAGGGUGCCAGGAAGCACCUGAACAUGCCUUGCUACCUUUAAAAGCAUUUUUCUAUUAUAGCCCAAGUGAAAACAACAGCUAAAAUAAAACAUUUAUAAUGA